GACGAACGCUGGCGGCGUGCUUAACACAUGCAAGUCGAACGAUGAAACCUAGCUUGCUAGGUCGAUUAGUGGCGAACGGGUGAGUAACACGUGACUAACCUGCCCCUUUCUCUGGGAUAACGCUCCGAAAGGAGUGCUAAUACCGGAUACUCACAUCGAGGCACAUGCCUUGAUGUGGAAAGUUUUUCGGAAAGGGAUGGAGUCGCGGCCUAUCAGCUUGUUGGUGAGGUAACGGCUCACCAAGGCGACGACGGGUAGCCGGCCUGAGAGGGCGACCGGCCACACUGGGACUGAGACACGGCCCAGACUCCUACGGGAGGCAGCAGUGGGGAAUAUUGCACAAUGGGCGCAAGCCUGAUGCAGCGACGCCGCGUGAGGGAUGAAGGUCUUCGGAUUGUAAACCUCUUUCAGUAGGGACGAAGCGCAAGUGACGGUACCUACAGAAGAAGGACCGGCCAACUACGUGCCAGCCGCCGCGGUAA
rnacentral:rRNA from 1 species